AGUGAACGCUGGCGGUAGGCCUAACACAUGCAAGUCGAACGGCAGCACAGUAAGAGCUUGCUCUUGCGGGUGGCGAGUGGCGGACGGGUGAGGAAUACAUCGGAAUCUACUUUUUCGUGGGGGAUAACGUAGGGAAACUUACGCUAAUACUGCAUACGACCUACGGGUGAAAGCAGGGGAUCUUCGGACCUUGCGCGAUUGAAUGAGCCGAUGUCGGAUUAGCUAGUUGGCGGGGUAAAGGCCCACCAAGGCGACGAUCCGUAGCUGGUCUGACAGGAUGAUCAGCCACACUGGAACUGAGACACGGUCCAGACUCCUACGGGAGGCAGCAGUGGGGAAUAUUGGACAAUGGGCGCAAGCCUGAUCCAGCCAUACCGCGUGGGUGAAGAAGGCCUUCGGGUUGUAAAGCCCUUUUGUUGGGAAAGAAAAGCAGCAGGUUAAUACCCCGCUGUUCUGACGGUACCCAAAGAAUAAGCACCGGCUAACUUCGUG
rnacentral:rRNA from 1 species